CACGUAGGGCGCAAGCGUUGUCCGGAAUUAUUGGGCGUAAAGAGCUCGUAGGCGGUCUGUUGCGUCUGCUGUGAAAACCCGGGGCUUAACCCCUGGCUUGCAGUGGAUACGGACAGACUAGAGGUAGGUAGGGGGAGAAUGGAAUUCCCGGUGUAGCGGUGAAAUGCGCAGAUAUCGGGAGGAACACCGGUGGCGAAGGCGGUUCUCUGGGCCUUACCUGACGCUGAGGAGCGAAAGCGUGGGGAGCGAACAGG
rnacentral:rRNA from 1 species